rnacentral:piRNA from 1 species
UGAGAUCGUACAUCAUGGUUCAGGUGCUUUU